GACAGGGGGCCGUCCUGGGAAAGCGCCCACGUGGCGCAGAAUUAGAGGCGGAGCCUACACGUUCUCAUCCAUAUGAGCAAGGGCUUCAUGUUACUGGCCGUGGCCCUGUGCUGAGUCCUCCUCCCGCCCAUGGCCCUCUCCUCCUGGCCAGUGGUCCUCCGCCUGAACAUGGCCGACUUUGUCUUCAGUUUCCUCUGCCUCGGCAUUGGGCUCCUGAUUUCUCUUCAGCCUGACGCUCUUUUCAGUUAACGGCAAGGCGGUGCACCCAAGUCCGGUGGUGUCCUACCUGGUGACCUCCUACCUGUGCUGGGACGCCAGCGACUUGAUGCUGCACUCCGCCAUCUCCCAGGAGCCGUGUCCUACCUAAGCCCAGUGGGCAUGUGAAGCAGAGGGCAGCCCUUGAAUGCGCGGCGGCUGAGCUACCGCGGGUGGGCCGUGCAGCAGGGCGCAGCGAGGCGGACAUCCAAACAGCGGAACUCAGACGCUGACUCCGAGCGCACCCCGGGCCUUCCCAUUUCAUACACCCUCGAGGAUGAGACCCAAGCACCUCCAAGGAAUAGCACCCGAGGUCUUCAGGACACCGACCGGUAGCCAUGGCCAGAUGCCCGGCCAACCCCUUCAGCGUGGCCACGCCCUGGAUAUUCGACCUCCCCUGAGGCCCCACCCCCUGAUAUCAGGCCACGCCCUCCGAGGGGACCGGUGGCAAACUCCAGCCCUCGCUCUAGGGCCCGCCCUUUGCGGCUUUGUCCCUGCCCACUGGGUCCUCACAGUACCUCCACCCCAGAGGCCCAGCAUCCCCUCCCGUUCUGCAGACACUUGUCCAGCGUCCCGCUGAGCUCGGCAGUGUGGCUAGUUUGUGUGGCCCUGCCCCUGGUGCCCAGCCAGGGUGGUCUGCAUGGAACUUCUUUCCCGGAGUUCCGGCCUCAGCUCCGAUGUCCACCCUUGUCCCCAGGUGGACACAGCACCGCCCAGCAUUUGGUGCAACUCCACCCUUCUGCAGAACGGGCCCCUCCCUGGGAAGGCAUGGCUUGCAAUAACAUCCCUCUGUACCUUUUCUGGCUUCCCCGCCACAAUAAAACCUCUCAGCCUCAGACCUUCCAUUGCCCCCCACCUCCCCACCAGGGCAGGGUCCAUCCUAGUGUGAGUGAACUGUUCUGGCGUCCCUGACUUGCCCUUUGGGA
rnacentral:lncRNA from 1 species